CCAGGAGAAAGAUGAUGGCAGUUAAGGCUGAGGAGGAGGCGUGGAAAGGGAGAGACGCGCAUGGCCUUGAGACGUAUUCAUAAAACAGAACAGCAACGCGACUUGGAAAUGGUCCCGAAGGAGAGGAGGAUCCAAGGGCAGCUCGGAUGGCUCAAGCACCUGGCUGCAUAAAAGGAAUGCCUGCUCAGGGCAAGAAGAAUUCACACUGUGAGGUGGUGGGAACCCCUAGGAUCUUUCAUAACAAAGGGACUCAACGGUUCAGAGGGCUGGCGCUGGAUAGUGACCCCCUUCCAGAGUCCUGCCUUGAAGGACAGUUCUGCCUCUGGGGCUGGUUGGUUGGUUUCUCACAUGGGAGAUACCGGAGUGCGCCUGCGCAUUGAAGGGAUGGACCGGAGGGGAAUCCUGGGCCCAUGCCUGGGGCUUGGCCUGUACCCUGUGCCGGGAAAGGAGGCCUGUUCUCAGCAGAGCAGCCUGACGGAGCCUCUAAAACGUUCAGCGAGAUGACAUCACUCCUCCAUUUCAAACUCUGCAGUGACUGCUCACAUCGUCAUCACUCGCCUCCCUGCCCUGCAUCAGCUGGCCCUUCCCCUCCGACCUUGGCUCCUGUCUCCUCCCUCCAGCCACACAGGUUCCCAGAGUUCCAUGAGCACCAGGAAUGCUUCUGCCACAGGUCCUUUGCACCAGCUGUUCCCACUACUGGACCAGCUUCUUGGCCUUGGCACUAUUGACUCUUUGUCUGGCUAAGUUUUUGUCGUGGGAGCUGUCCUGUGCAUUGUAGGAUGUUUACAGCUUCUCCCUUCUAGAUGCCAGUAGCACCUCCACAUACACACAAUUGUGACGACAAAAAUGUCUCCACAUGUUGGCUAAAGUCCCCUGGGUAAGAGGGAGGAAACACCACUGGCCUGAGAACCACUGGCCUAGAAGAGGUUUCCCUAGAUACCCACUAGAUCUCCUCCCUCCCCUUUUCAUGUCUUUCCUCAAAUCUCUUCUGCUCAAUGAGGCCCACCCUGACCACCUCAUUUAAUCCUGCAUCUGGCCCCGGUCCCAAAUUCCUGGUACCUCAUCUUGCCCUUUUCCUUUUUGCCAUAGCAGUGGUUACUUUCUCACAUCCUACUUGAUUUACUUAUUUCUUACAUUUAUUAUGUGCUUUCUCCCAUUGCAAUGCAAGCUCCCCAAGGGCAGGGGGCCUCAACAGUUUUAAUUACUGAUGUGCCCCAAGUGUCUAGAACUGUGCCUGGC